GGAAACGAUGUGGGAAGGCCCAGACAGCCAGGAUGUUGGCUUAGAAGCAGCCAUCAUUUAAAGAAAGCGUAAUAGCUCACUGGUCGAGUCGGCCUGCGCGGAAGAUGUAACGGGGCUAAACCAUGCACCGAAGCUGCGGCAGCGACACUAUGUGUUGUUGGGUAGGGGAGCGUUCUGUAAGCCUGUGAAGGUGGCCUGUGAGGGUUGCUGGAGGUAUCAGAAGUGCGAAUGCUGACAUAAGUAACGAUAAAGCGGGUGAAAAGCCCGCUCGCCGGAAGACCAAGGGUUCCUGUCCAACG
rnacentral:rRNA from 1 species